rnacentral:lncRNA from 1 species
CACGAUUUUAAACACUAAAAAAAUUAUGUGCUUCAGUUGAUGUAUGUAUGUAUUUGCGUAUUAUAUUAGUGUAUAUUUUUUAAGUUUCUUUUAAACUUUUCCUUUGCUUUCUUCUGUCUUCUGUUAAUGAUACCUUGUAAAAGACACUCCAGAGGUGCUGUAUGAUUCAAUCCGAAAGGUCUUGUGUGUGUACGAAUAUGUAUUUGUGUAUGUGUACAUUUGUAUCAGUGUCUGUGUGUGCGUGUAUGUGUGUGUUUGUGUGUAUGUAUGUACGUGAGUGUAUAUUAGAUAAAAAUAUAUAGUUGUGUGAAUUUAAGUAUAUGUUUUUUUCCCUUUAAUAAUUUUGAAUUUUUUGUAUUUUGUUUUAUUUUUUUUUUUUUUGAAGGCCCACGAUCGAAAAGAUUUACAGAAAGAAAAAAAAAUUGCUACUUUUCCCAAAAAUUCGCCCACCACUGAUAGAAAAUUUUCAUAUGAUUCCAAAUAUGCUCAUCAAAUUUUCGAACUGUGUGUAGUGUACUUACACUGGGGACGCUUAUGUAUGCAAUAUCUAAUCGAAUUACAAACUGGUGCCUGCUAUCAAUGCGUGGAUCUGUUUCAAGAUCCCCGCACACUCUGUGAAUCUAGUAGGCGGGGCCCUCUGGAAACGGUUCGACUGACAAGCAACCAAGACCGACUUGAAACUGUCGUGAUCUUUAUAUAUGUUUGGAAAGUGAACGUGUUUUACUGCUAGUGAGAGUGUGUUUCAGGUUUGCUUUCGGCUCACUUCUCUCCUUCAUUUAAGCAUUUCGCAAUAUUUUUGUCGUCGUUCUUGCUCGCAAUGUUGAUAUUCAUGACUGUUGCUGUUGUUGUGGUGAUUAAUUUUGCUACAUUUGUUGUCAUUACUAUUAAUGCUGCUGUUGUUGUAGAUAUUGUGAAUGUCGUUGUCGUACUGGCUGCUCUUAAUACUGUAGCGUUGCUAAUACUGCUGCUGCUGCCGUUCUUACUGUUGCUGCUAUUGCUGCUGCUGCUGCUGCCG